rnacentral:rRNA from 1 species
ACGAACGCUGGCGGCGUGCCUAAUACAUGCAAGUCGAGCGGAAUGAUGAAGAAGCUUGCUUCUUCUGAUUUUAGCGGCGGACGGGUGAGUAACACGUGGGCAACCUACCUUGUAGAUUGGGAUAACUCCGGGAAACCGGGGCUAAUACCGAAUAAUCCAUUUUGCUUCAUGGCGAGAUGUUGAAAGACGGUUUCGGCUGUCACUAUAAGAUGGGCCCGCGGCGCAUUAGCUAGUUGGUAGGGUAAUGGCCUACCAAGGCGACGAUGCGUAGCCGACCUGAGAGGGUGAUCAGCCACACUGGGACUGAGACACGGCCCAGACUCCUACGGGAGGCAGCAGUAGGGAAUCUUCCACAAUGGACGAAAGUCUGAUGGAGCAACGCCGCGUGAGUGAAGAAGGUUUUCGGAUCGUAAAACUCUGUUGUAAGGGAAGAACACGUACGAGAGUAACUGCUCGUACCUUGACGGUACCUUAUUAGAAAGCCACGGCUAACUACGUG